rnacentral:lncRNA from 1 species
GGGUGCCUCAAGGGUGCUCUAUGGGUGCCCCAAGGAUGCCCUAUGGGUGCCCCACGGGUGCCCCAUGGAGGCUACUUGGGUGCCCCAUUGGAUGCCCCUUGGAUGCCCCAUGGGUGCCCCAUGGAGGCUACUUGGCUGCCCCAUUGGGUGCCCCAAGGAUGCCCUAUGGGUGCCCCACGGGUGUCCCAUUGGAUGCCCUAUGGGUGCCCCACAGGUGCCCCAUGGAUGCUUCUUGGGUGCCCCAUUGGAUGCCCCUAGGAUGCCCCAUGGAUGCCCCAUGGAUGCUUCUCGGGUGCCCCAUGGACGCUUCUCGGGUGCCCCAUGGAGACUUCUUGGGUGCCCCAUUGGAUGCCCCAAGGAUGCCCCAUGGGUGCCCUAUGGAUGCCCCACAGAUCCCCAUGGAUGCCCCAUGGAUGCUUCUUGGGUGCCCCAUUGGAUGCCCCUAGGGUGUCCCUAGGAUGCCCUAUGGGUGCCCCACGGGUGCCCCAUGGAGGCUACUUGGGUGCCCCAUUGGGUGCUCCAAGGAUGCCCUAUGGGUGCCCCACGGGUGCCCCAUGGACGCUUUUGGGUGCCCCAUUGGAUGCCUCAAGGGUGCCCCAUGGGUGCCCCAUGGAGGCUUCUUGGGUGCCCCAUUGGAUGCCCCAUUGGAUGCCCCAUGGGUGCCCCACGGGUGUCCCAUGGACGUUUCUUGGGUGCCCCAUUGGGUGCCCCUAGGAUGCCCCAUGGGUGCCCCAUUGGAUGCCUCAAGGGUGUGCUUAGGAUGCCCCACAGGUGCCCCACGGAUGCCCCAUAGAUGCCCCACGGAUGCUUCUUGGAUGCCCUAUGGAUGCCUCUUGGUUGCCCCAUGGAUGUUAUUUGGUUGCCCCAUGGAUUCAUCUCGGUUGCCCCAUGGAUGUUAUUUGGUUGCCCCAUGGAUGUUAUUUGGUUGCCCCAUGGAUGUUCUUUGGGUGCCCCAUGGAUUCUUUUUGGUUGCCCCACAGAUGCUUCUGGGGCGCCCCAUUGGUUGCCCUAUGGAUGCUUCUUGA